GAUACGCAGAACAAAAUGGCAUGGAAAAAGGUCGGCGCGGGCCGCGGGCUCCACGGAGCCGAAGGUUUUUAGAAACUUGGUGGUGAGCUGAUGUUCUUGAGCUGAUGAUC
ensembl:ncRNA ZK1321.5 ncRNA